CUAAAAAAACUUUUUCGUAUGUCUACGAGUACAACUUAAUAAAGUUUCGAAACUGCUUCGAGACCGUAUUAUGCCACGCCUGGUCUCCCACUCUGCUCUAAAAGCAAAUAAGUUGCUCGAUAAGUUUGGUGCCCACGUAAAGGAGCUUUACUAUAUUAACAGUGGACAAUCUAAAGCCGCCAGUCCGGAACGGAAGAGCAUGACAAUGUGUUAAGCGAGUGCAGAAGAUUUAACAAACAUCCUUUAUUUAUAUACGAUGUAGUUGGAAACGCCAUAGUACCUUCAGGG